rnacentral:rRNA from 1 species
ACAGGUUGAUUCUGCCUGACGAGGAUGCUUGUCUCUGGGAUUAAGCCAUGCAAGUCUGGUGAAGCGAAAGUGGAACUGCGAACGGCUCAGUAGAACGGUGAUUAUUUAAUCGUGUAGGAAGGAUAACCGCGGGAAACUGUGGCUAAUAACACGAGUAAGACGCCGACCCAUCAGUUUUAUCGUACGGUAAGGGCGUACGAUGGCUUUAACGGGUACGGGGGAUCAGGGUUUGAUUCCGGAGAGGGAGCCUGAGAAACGGCUACCAGGUCUAAGGACAGCAGCAGGCGCGAAACUUGCCCAAUUGGAGAGAGGCAGUUAUGAGACGUAUAUUUUGUAACCGGGGUAGAAUACCGGUGAUUGACUGGAGGGCAAGUCUGGUGCCAGCAGCCGCGGUAAUUCCAGCUCCAGGAGUGUCAUAGUGCAUUGCUGCAUUUAAAAGGUCCGUAGUCAGUGUUGACAGGGAUGCUAGAAGACACUUUCUUCAUGGAGUGUAUUGGCAUUCUAGGUUAGCAUGUAGGAGCGGAAGAGGGCGACUGUAUUGCGUAGCGAGAGGUGAAAGUUGACGACCUACGUAGGACAAACCGAAGCGAAAGCUGUCGUCCAGUACGUUUCCGGUGAUCAAGGACGUAAGCCGGAGGAGCAAAGGUGAUUAGAGACCCCUGUAGUUCCGGCCGUAAACUAUGCCAACUGGGUGUUACGUAGUGGUACCCACGAGAAAUCAAGUAUAUGGGCUAUGGGGAUAGUACGAUCGCAAGAUUGAAACUUGAAGAAAUUGACGGAAGGACACCACCAGGAGUGGAGUGUGCGGCUUAAUUUGACUCAACGCGGGACAACUUACCAGGGCCAGUUGUAUGACGAAUCUUUGAUGAGUACGACUAAGUGGUGCAUGGCCGUUCACAACAUGUGAGGUGACUUUUAGGUUUAUUGCUGUAAUGUGUGAGACCCUCAGCUACGGCGACUGGGGACUAUAAGUUUCAGGAAGGAGGGGGCUAUAACAGGUCUGUGAUGCCCUUAGAUGUUCUGGGCUGCACGCGCACUACAAUGUUAUUUCUAGGUAUAUUGUAAAGAUAAAGGAUAACUCGGUUGGGAUUGCGUUCUGUAAUGGACGCAUGAACCAGGAAUUCCUAGUAGUCGCGUGUCACUAACGGGCGACGACUGCGUCCCUGUUCUUUGUACACACCGCCCGUCGUUAUCUAAGAUGGUGCUAUGUUCGAAGAGGGUUUUCCUUCUGAGGACGUAGGAUUAGAUUGGAUACAAGUCGUAACAAGGUUGCUGUAGGAGAACCUGCAGCAGGAUCAGUG